rnacentral:lncRNA from 1 species
UCACCUCCUACCAGGCCCCACCUCCAGCACUGGGGAUUACAAUUCAACAUGGGAUUUGGGCAGGAAAAAUAUCCAAACUGUAUCACUUUUCCUUUGGAAACUGGUCACAUUCUCAUGAUUUUUUAUAUGUCACAUAAUUUGGGAUUAUGAAUUGGGCUUUUUAAAAAAAUUUUGAGACCAGGUCUGGCUCCGUCUCAAAAAAAAGAGGGCAGACCAAGCAACAGAGACACAUACCAAAGACACACCCACGAUGGCUUCAUCCAUGGGAGACGAUUGAAAGGCUGGCGUCGCAGCCACGUGAGACAUUCCAAGGCAGGUCAGAUGAACAGCCCUAGAGCCUGUCUGGAGGAGAGCAGGCGUCUCCUGCGGGACAUCAUCCUCGAGAUAAGGAAGGGUCCUGUUCCUCUUGUAUAAAUGGAGGUUUUUCUCAUGAGUGUCCUUAAAUCUACCACUAAACUCAGGUUAAAUGCUCUUAGUCUGGAAUUAAUGUACAGAAACUGGGAUGGAUAUGUUUUCAUAUUAUUUAUGAAAAAAAUGUUUCUCAAGUAAAUGGAACAAGCAGGAAUACAGGUGGGAAUGCCACAGUACUAGACUACACUGUGCUUCAGAACAGUUUUUCUUUUUUUGAGACAGGGUCUUGCUCUGUCUCCCAGGCUGGAGUGCAGUGGC